rnacentral:lncRNA from 1 species
CUCUCUCUCUGUCCUGCGCCUCUCUCUCUCUCGCCUGCGCCUGUCUCUCGCCUGCGCCUCUCUCUCUCUCGCCUGCGCCUCUCUCUCUCUCUCGCCUGCCCCCUCUCUCUCUCUCUUCGCCUGCGCCUCUCUCUCCCUCACCUGCGCCUCUCUCUCUCUCCCCUGCGCCUCUCUCUCUUUCUCUCUCGCAUGCACCUCUGUCUAUCUCCCUCGUCUGCCCCUCUCUGUCUUUCUUUCCCCUGCGCCUCUCUCUCACCUGCGCCUCUCUCUCUCUCGCCUGCAUCUCUCUCUCUCGCCUGUGCCUCUCUCUCUCUCGCCUGCCCCUCUCUCUCGCCUGCGCCUCUCUCUCUCGCCUGCACCUCUCCCUCUUUCUCGCCCGUGCCCCUCUCUCUCUCUCCCUCACCUGCGCCUCUCUCUCUCUCGCCUGCGCCUCUCUCUCUUUCUCUCUCGCAUGCACCUCUGUCUAUCUCCCUCGCCUGCCCCUCUCUGUCUUUCUUUCCCCUGCACCUCUCUCUCACCUGCGCCUCUCUCUCUCUCGCCUGCACCUCUCUCUCUCUCGCCUGUGCCUCUCUCUCUCUCUCGCAUGCACCUCUCUCUCUCUCGCCUGUGCCUCUCUCUCUCUCUCACCUGCGCCUCUCUCUCUCUCGCCUGCGCUUCUCUCUCUCUCGCCUGCGCCUCUCUCUCUCGCCUGCCCCCCCUCUCGCCUGCCCCUCUCUCUCUCGCCUGUGCCUCUCUCUCUCUCCCCUGCACCUCUGUCUCUCUCUCGCCUGCCCCUCUCUUUCUCGCCUGCAUCUCUCUCUCUCUCACCUGCGCCUCUCUCUCUCUCUCGCCUGCGCCUCUCUCUCUCUUUCUUGCCUGCGCCUCUCUCUCCCCCCCCUCUCUCUCUCUCCUCGCCGGCCUCGUGCGGGGCCGCCUGAUGGAUUGCCGCACCAUUCAUCUAAAUUAUGUCACCGGCAAUAAGCAACUUGCUUAAUCCGCCUAACGAAGGGCCGGGUGGGCGAGCGCUGACACGUGCUUAACGCUGUCCUCCUCGCCGCCGCCGGCAGCCCCGUCCGCACCGCGCGGCCGGAAACGCCCUCGUGUUUACGGGCUUCCCGCGGGCUGUGCCGGGGCUGGAUCCGUGGGGCUGGCACUUCCAGCCAGCAGGGAUGCGAGAGGCGCCCGGCGCUGCCCAGCUCGCCCGCCUGCAUCCCAGCCUUGGCGCAGCCUGCUGCUUCCCGGGAUAAACUGCACCUGGUGCAG